AUCGUGGUCUUGAAAGUUCCGGAGGCACUUCUGGAAAGUAUUAAGAUGCACGCAGAAAACAGGAAAAUUCCACGAAAUCAGGUUUUUGUCGAAGCGCUGGAUCAAGAAGGUGCUUAUACAAAAGAAAUCGCGGAAUGUGAAAGAGUUACUAAAAAUUAAAUUCCCCUCAGAGACUAUACGCCGAGGGGUAGAAAGGAGAAAAAGAUGGAGGUUCGGGGAUCUUAGAUUUCCAGCCUCCAAUAUCUCACUUCUGCCUAUGAUAUAGUCCGAACUCUGCAGCGAUGCAGAG
rnacentral:autocatalytically_spliced_intron from 1 species